UCUAGCUGGCAGCACGGUCAUUUCGCAUUACCUUGAUGAAUUGUACAUUUUGCCAUUUGUUUGACGCUAGAAGAUGCAUUUAACUAAGUAAUUGAAGUGGGUGCAAAAGUAAAGCAAAAGGACUUGUUUUAGUAAACGUAUCCCGUGAUUGAGAAAGACACAAAAGCUGUUUUCUGACAAACUGUCUUUUUGCAUAUCAUGGUGCGUUUUUGAGUGUGAAUGGCGAAGCGACGCGUUUUUUCGUGAAGUGGUAAGAAUUAGGAAAUCACAACAGAGUGUACUUUGUUUCGUAUUACAGCAUGUAACGCAAAAUGCGAGAUGCGGUUUAUGAAAUCCGAGAGUGCCUCUAGGAAAAUAUCGAAUGGAAAUGAAUUCGUUUGUUGAUGUAAAUUUGAAUAUCGUUGAAAGAAGUGAAG